rnacentral:lncRNA from 1 species
GUGGUUAGGCUUGUCAGUGGCUGCCCCUUUAUAGGUGUCGGAUCAUUUUACUCAGUUUACCGGUAGCGGUGGUACCACAAAGGUGCACCGCUCUAUUCUUCAGGUUAUUUGGUUUGUUGUAGUUUGAGAAAUAUGGAAGGAAAGAAACAAUAGGUUGUUUAAUGUCAAAGAUUGCUCGGUUAUCUAGGUGGUCGAUAAGAUUAAGUCGCUUGCUUUUACGUGGUUGAAGACGAAGUAUAUUUCUCUUCCCUUCAAUUACCAUGGGUGAUGGCUUAGCAACUAUUGUAUAUAUUGUUCUUGACUCUGAUGUCCUUUCCUGAGUACGUCUUGUGCUCGAAAAGACUCUUUUGAGGUAGUAUUAUAAUUCAUUUUAGCUUCUUAAAAAAAAAGUAA